rnacentral:rRNA from 1 species
CAAGUCGUGGGGCAGCAUGACUGUAGCAAUACAGUUGAUGGCGACCGGCAAACGGGUGCGGAACACGUACACAACCUUCCUUUAAGUGGGGAAUAGCCCGGGGAAACCCGGAUUAAUACCCCGUAAUAUAAUGAAGUGGCAUCACUUUAUUAUUAUAGCUCCGGCGCUUGAAGAUGGGUGUGCGACUGAUUAGAUAGUUGGCGGGGUAACGGCCCACCAAGUCUGCGAUCAGUAACUGGUGUGAGAGCACGACCAGUCACACGGGCACUGAGACACGGGCCCGACUCCUACGGGAGGCAGCAGUAAGGAAUAUUGGUCAAUGGACGCAAGUCUGAACCAGCCAUGCCGCGUGGAGGAUGAAGGCCCUCUGGGUUGUAAACUUCUUUUAUCUGGGACGAAAAAGGGACUUUCUAGUUCAACUGACGGUACCAGAGGAAUAAGCACCGGCUAACUCCGUGCCAGCAGCCGCGGUAAUACGGAGGGUGCAAGCGUUAUCCGGAUUCACUGGGUUUAAAGGGUGCGUAGGUGGGCAGGUAAGUCAGUGGUGAAAUCUUUGGGCUUAACCCGAAAACUGCCAUUGAUACUAUUUGUCUUGAAUAUUGUGGAGGUCAGCGGAAUAUGUCAUGUAGCGGUGAAAUGCUUAGAUAUGACAUAGAACACCAAUUGCGAAGGCAGCUGGCUACACAUAUAUUGACACUGAUGCACGAAAGCGUGGGGAUCAAACAGGAUUAGAUACCCUGGUAGUCCACGCCCUAAACGAUGGAUACUCGACAUACGCGAUAUACUGUGUGUGUCUGAGCGAAAGCAUUAAGUAUCCCACCUGGGAAGUACGAUCGCAAGAUUGAAACU